UAGAGUUUGAUCCUGGCUCAGAUUGAACGCUGGCGGCAUGCUUUACACAUGCAAGUCGAACGGCAGCACGGGGGCAACCCUGGUGGCGAGUGGCGAACGGGUGAGUAAUGCAUCGGAACGUGUCCUGUAAUGGGGGAUAACCUGGCGAAAGCCAGGCUAAUACCGCAUACGUCCUGAGGGAGAAAGCGGGGGAUCGUAAGACCUCGUGUUAUAGGAGCGGCCGAUGUCGGAUUAGCUAGUUGGUGGGGUAAAGGCCUACCAAGGCGACGAUCCGUAGCGGGUCUGAGAGGACGGCCCGCCACACUGGGACUGAGACACGGCCCAGACUCCUACGGGAGGCAGCAGUGGGGAAUUUUGGACAAUGGGGGGCAACCCUGAUCCAGCCAUGCCGCGUGAGUGAAGAAGGCCUUCGGGUUGUAAAGCUCUUUCGGCCGGGAAGAAAUCGUGCGGGCUAAAUACCCUGUAUGGAUG
rnacentral:rRNA from 1 species